rnacentral:rRNA from 1 species
AUUGAACGCUGGCGGCAGGCCUAACCCAUGCAAGUCGAGCGAAGCUGCGGACGGGUGAGUAACGCCUACGUAUCUACCCGGUAGUGGGGGUUAACGUCAGGAAACGGACCCUAAUAUCGUACCUUAUCCGAUGAGCCUAGGUCGGAUUAGCUCGUUGGUUGGGCAAAGGCCUACCAAGGCGACGAUCCUUAACUGGGCUGAGAGGCUGAUCAGUCACACUGGAACUGAGACACGGUCCAGACUCCUACGGGAGGCAGCAGUGGGGAAUAUUGGACAAUGGGCGAAAGCCUGAUCCAGCCAUGCCGCGUGUGUGAAGAAGGUCUUCGGAUUGUAAAGCACUGUAAGUUGGGAGGCGUUACCAACAGAAUAAGCACCGGCUAACUUCGUGCCAGCAGCCGCGGUAAUAC